UCGAGCGGUAGCACAGAGAGCUUGCUCUCGGGUGACGAGCGGCGGACGGGUGAGUAAUGUCUGGGAAACUGCCUGAUGGAGGGGGAUAACUACUGGAAACGGUAGCUAAUACCGCAUAACGUCGCAAGACCAAAGUGGGGGACCUUCGGGCCUCAUGCCAUCAGAUGUGCCCAGAUGGGAUUAGCUAGUAGGUGGGGUAAUGGCUCACCUAGGCGACGAUCCCUAGCUGGUCUGAGAGGAUGACCAGCCACACUGGAACUGAGACACGGUCCAGACUCCUACGGGAGGCAGCAGUGGGGAAUAUUGCACAAUGGGCGCAAGCCUGAUGCAGCCAUGCCGCGUGUAUGAAGAAGGCCUUCGGGUUGUAAAGUACUUUCAGCGAGGAGGAAGGCAUUAAGGUUAAUAACCUUAGUGAUUGACGUUACUCGCAGAAGAAGCACCGGCUAACUCCGUGCCAGCAGCCGCGGUAAUACGGAGGGUGCAAGCGUUAAUCGGAAUUACUGGGCGUAAAGCGCACGCAGGCGGUCUGUCAAGUCGGAUGUGAAAUCCCCGGGCUCAACCUGGGAACUGCAUUCGAAACUGGCAGGCUAGAGUCUUGUAGAGGGGGGUAGAAUUUCCAGGUGUAGCGGUGAAAUGCGUAGAGAUCUGGAGGAAUACCGGUGGCGAAGGCGGCCCCCUGGACAAAGACUGACGCUCAGGUGCGAAAGCGUGGGGAGCAAACAGGAUUAGAUACCCUGGUAGUCCACGCCGUAAACGAUGUCGACUUGGAGGUUGUGCCCUUGAGGCGUGGCUUCCGGAGCUAACGCGUUAAGUCGACCGCCUGGGGAGUACGGCCGCAAGGUUAAAACUCAAAUGAAUUGACGGGGGCCCGCACAAGCGGUGGAGCAUGUGGUUUAAUUCGAUGCAACGCGAAGAACCUUACCUACUCUUGACAUCCAGAGAACUUAGCAGAGAUGCUUUGGUGCCUUCGGGAACUCUGAGACAGGUGCUGCAUGGCUGUCGUCAGCUCGUGUUGUGAAAUGUUGGGUUAAGUCCCGCAACGAGCGCAACCCUUAUCCUUUGUUGCCAGCGGUUAGGCCGGGAACUCAAAGGAGACUGCCAGUGAUAAACUGGAGGAAGGUGGGGAUGACGUCAAGUCAUCAUGGCCCUUACGAGUAGGGCUACACACGUGCUACAAUGGCAUAUACAAAGAGAAGCGACCUCGCGAGAGCAAGCGGACCUCAUAAAGUAUGUCGUAGUCCGGAUUGGAGUCUGCAACUCGACUCCAUGAAGUCGGAAUCGCUAGUAAUCGUAGAUCAGAAUGCUACGGUGAAUACGUUCCCGGGCCUUGUACACACCGCCCGUCACACCAUGGGAGUGGGUUGCAAAAGAAGUAGGUAGCUUAACCUU
rnacentral:rRNA from 1 species